UAGGAAAGAAGAGAAAAGAAAGAAAAGAAAGAGAAGAAGGAGAAGAAGAAGAAGAGGAAGGAGAAGAAGGGAGGAAAGAAGAAGAAAGAGAAGGAGAAGACUAAGAAGAAGAAGAAGAAGACAUCUUCUUCUCUCCCUCUCCCUCAAGCUUGAAGGAGUCUUGAAGAGAGGUAAGUUCUAAACCCUUUAAUGGUGUUUUUAGGGUUUUGGAGUUUUGUUGCUUAUAGAUGGUUCGAAU
rnacentral:lncRNA from 1 species